rnacentral:rRNA from 1 species
UACGAAGGGGGCUAGCGUUGCUCGGAAUCACUGGGCGUAAAGGGUGCGUAGGCGGGUUGUUAAGUCAGUGGUGAAAGCUCCGAGCCUAACUCGGAAACUGCCAUUGAUACUGACGAUCUUGAGUACAUUUGAGGUGGGCGGAAUGUGUCAUGUAGCGGUGAAAUGCUUAGAUAUGACACAGAACACCGAUUGCGAAGGCAGCUCACUAAACUGUAACUGACGCUGAGGCACGAAAGCGUGGGGAGCAAACAGG